UCUUUGGAGGUGUUCAGGGAUGUGUUGAAUGGGGCCCUGGGCAGCAUCUGGUGUGGUACCAGAUCUGGAGGUUGGUGGACCUGCCUGUGGCAAGGGGUUGGAAUUUGGUGAUCCUCAGUGUCUUUUCUAACCCAAGCCAUUCUAUGAGCAUCUCUAGCACUGGAGUGUCACUGCUGUAAUGCCACCUGUCUGCUCAGGCUGGUGUUCUGCUGUUCCUCACCAAGUCAUGGGCACAUUGGUUGUGCAAAGACAAUGAGAGGAGGUAAAUGGUAACUUGACACAUCUUCAUUUCCAGCAGAAUUUAAAACAAAAGAACCUAAACCAAACCUUUUCUAACAUCCAUUGGCUCUCCAAUGAGAUGUAGUCUCUGCAGCCAUUUCCUUGCAGUUAAAAUGCUUGGCACCCCACGGUGGAGAGGGGUUCACUGUGGGUUGGCUGCUGGCUGGGGGGGCAGCUGGUGCUCUGCUGUGGGCCUUGGGGAGAAGCAAGCUUGAUGUAUUGGGUAGGAGGGUGGUCCCCGUGGGGUUUUGCGAUGAGAACCCAAUGUGAAGACCUGAAGUUCUCCAUUGCAAGCAUCUGAGUGCUCAGAGGGUGAGUGAGAAGUGUGCUGAGCUGCUCUGUGAAGCAUGAAGCAGCCUGUCAAAAAGCUGAUGCUGUGAGAACGGGUCAUAAAGAACUGUGGUCAUCUACUGAACUUGUGCUGAAAUGUAUUAAAUUCCUCUGGGUUCGCAUCUACUCUGUGUGCUGCUGGGUUGGUCCUGGCUCCUGGGGUCCUGCGUGUGCUGCUUUACAGGCAGAACAGCAGAGCUGCAGCUCUGGAGCAUGAGUUCUGUUGAUGAAGUUCGGUGUUGCAAUUGUAAUGACGUGGAGCAGCAGCAGAGGACGCACGAGCUCGCAAACUGUCCUAGUCUGAAGGUUUGAGCUGGAAGUUGGAAUAAAUGCAGCUGUGCAGUUUGUUGCUGCCUACACUGCUUCGUGUUCUUCAGCAAGGUUCUGCAGUACAGUCCUACCCUAUGGGAACGAACCACAGCGUCUCCUUUAAUAGGUGCGAAGCAUUUUCUGGCCACAGUUUAUACAUUCAAAACCUAUGGGGACGUGUAUGUACAUCUAUCUACCUGUCUGUCUACAUAGGUAGCUAUAAAUAUAUAUGUACAAUGGUAUGUGGUUACAUUUGUUAAUGUUCUCCAAUACUUAUUAGCAACUUAAAUUUAGCGUUUGUAUAUUAAUUAUUGAUUUUUUUCAAGGCAAUCUACUCUGUACCCACAGCACAUCUGCAUUUCUGUUCGCAGUUCUGGGUGAAAGGCUUAAAUGACAUUGCCAUGGGCGAUUCCAUGAGCAGGAAAGAUGUGUGGAAUGGCACUGCUUGAUUUUGUUGCUUGAUGUGGGUGAAUGAUGUGAAGGUGAAUGUGUUCAUAGUCCUUUGGGUUUUCUUGGAUGUGAGAUACAGACGAGCUUUUGUUAGCUUUCCUUAGGUGCCAAAACAAUUAAGUCUAGAAUUGCUGAGCUUCAGUAAGGUGGGACUAGCUGACUGGAAAUCCUUUAAUAGAGCACUCAGUAAAGGCCAAGUAUUCAGCUCUUUCUUUCAGUUUUCAAUAGGACUUUACUCCUGGGGGUUAUUACUUGGGCUUGCUAUUACAUUAUGACUCACCAUCUCUCUAACUACCUGAACAGUAAGAAGAUUUACCCCAUACAAGCAUGCUGAUAAUUCCCUUCAUUCUCUUUUCUGGCCAGAACUGGUUCAGGUUCUACAGAGAUUGCUCAGCAUUGGUUCAUAGAGGCUGAAAUAGGUAAGGCUGUGAAAACUCCAAUUUACAUGUAUGUGGAUGUCAUAUAUGCAUGAAAAUUUGGGUAUCUUGGUCUUUUGUCCGUGAUUCUGCUCAGAUAAAACAGAAGUCCUUGCCCUUUUGAGGCAGAGGUGUGAGUGACUGAAUAAGUUUGUCUAGUGCUCCAUCCUGGGCUUCCUGGAGCUGUGGGGACCAUAGUAUACUUUGUACUUUAUGCCUUUCUAGAAUGUAUCGCUGGUUUUUCAUUAGUUUAGGAUUUGAUAGAGGUUAUGUAGUUUAUACUGUGGUCUAUCCUUAGAUUUUUAUCCUGUUUUUUUUCUGUAGGAUGUUUUGUCUACCAGCAUUGCUGAGACCAGCAUCACCACCAAUUAUGUGGUCUAUGUCAUGGACUUCUGCUGCGAGUGAGCCCGUGAAACAGCUUUUUGUUUUGUAAAUCCUGUCCUUUGGAAUGCAAAAAAGGUUUUCUGACCACACAGAACUGCCCCGUGUUCCCACAGCCCCACAAUCCCAGAGCUGAAUCUGAGGACUCGAGCUCACUCAAGACAGAUCCGCAUUGUCUUUAACUGUUCAGUUGAGUUACAAACGGCAUCGGGGUGGGCUGCUUUUGGCCAUCUGCAUUCACUCUGGCGCCACCGCUCAUGUGAGGUGUUACCGGGUCUCCGUGCAUAUUAUAAGCAUGUAGUCUGCUAAAUGGGUGUUAUGAACACACAGGAUAGAGAUGCUGGAAAUUAGGAAGAUUGCUGUAGACUGUUGCAGAUCCUGUCUUGCUAUGUGAGUAAAUUACACAUGGGAAUCUCACUAAUCGUACUGGAAUUUGGAGUGUUUUGAGGGAGUUCCGAGCAUUUCGUUCUGUAUAUAGCUUGGAGCACUGCUUUAUAAAUAGUGCUGUGCUUUGGUUUGCUAACAGGUGGCUAAGUAGCCAAAGCUUAGCUGGUCAAGCAGGGAUGGUUUGCUUCUUAAAAGCAGCGUGGCUGCAGGGAAUGAAGUAAGGGCUGGUUUGGCAGGACUGAAGAUGCUGAAUAUCAGAUCUUCUGCUUUACUCUGUAACAGAUAAAAAGCGAAGCUAUUCUCUGCUGACAGUAUCAUCAGUCUGGGGAUCAAAAACUAAUUUGCAGCAGUAGAAAGGAGGAGCGGGACAUGUGCGUGCUGGGUUUUGUUUCCAUUUGUAUGGCAGAACUCACUUUAAAAAGUGAAGCUGUGCCCUUCAGAAUUAAAAUAGCUCUGGAGAGUUCUCUAAGAACUGUUGCAUGUCUGUCUGAUCCGACUGGGAAAGUAAAGUCAGGAAGCACAGACAGGAAAUGCGGGAAUUCUUGGCUAUCUCAGUUCUUUUUCUUUAAGAACAUAUAUGUGUUUAUAUGUUUGUACCCAUAGUGGGAAGUGGAGAGAUAGUUCGUGAUCUUAUUGUUCAGAACUUCCCUGUGAACCUAAAGAAUCUCUCAGGGGAAAACAUGAUAGUGCUUGAGAACUGAAGCAGAGAAGAGCUUUGGAAUGAGAAUAAGGCUCUCAGACAUUCCUUCAGAUGUUGCAAGCAGUUGAAUUUUUCACAUAACAGGCAAUUUUGUCAUGAAGGUGGUAAAAUCCAGGCAAGGCAGAUGUUCUCUGUUCACCCCCAUUCUGUGGUCAGGAACACUGCUGAACUGCUGCUCCAGCUCUUUCCCCACUGCUAAGACUUCUGAUUCCUCUAAUGGACAAAUUGUUUCUCAGUCAGUUGAGCCAUGGAAAUCUUUUUGCCAGCUGCAGAAGUGUACACAGCUCUUAUACACUCUCUGGUCUCCCCUUGAAACUUAGCAAGCCCUUUUCUCAAGGAGCAUAUAGAGCAUAGCUGUGUUUGAGUGCUCAACUUCGUAUGUGUGUGACAUCCACGUGCAUGUGCCUGGGAAGGAGAGUGUGUGUCUUGUGGACUUGUGCAAAGAGAUAUGAAAACCUGAUAACAUCUCAAUGUCAAAUCUGUUUGAGGUGUCCCAAAAGCUUUUCUAGCUGUCUGCUACCCAGUGUGGCCAUUACUAUGGGUUCCUAUUUCAGUUAGCAAGUUAAGUGCCCAUUAACAAUACCAUGUCAGAGAUAAAGACUUCAGAACUCUCUCUUUCCAGCAGGUCCCUGAGAUGAGAACUGAGAAGAAAGGAAUGCUAGAAGAAUGCAAUGAGAGAUGGAAUGGCUAGGAAGCAGUAUUUGCUUUGAGAGGCAACAGUUGAUGCUGAUGGAAUGACCCAUGUUGGUGAUCAGAGUCCAUGUUCAACAAACAUGGGCUUUUUUGUCCUCUUCUCAUUCUAGACUUAAACUCAUGUGCCACCUGAGAUAACAUCCUUUUGUGUAAUUCUCUCAAGCACUGAAUUGCUGCAGCUGGGAGAAACGGGUCACCUUUUGACUAAAGCAAUAGAGCCACCACCUUUGGGUGCUGCAGUGGAAACUGAACGCUCACUAAUUGGUACCACUGUUUGCUCAUAAGGCUCUGUGUUAAUGAAGGUGAGUCUGAAUGAUUUCCCAUGUAUAGUGAUCACUUACAAACUGCUUUAAUGUCUCUUUUGUCUGCUUGUUUCUGUAGUAGCACGCUGACCAAAACAGCAGGGUGUAUUUUGGAGGCAUUGUGUGGGUGGCAGUGUCUUCUUGCAGCUGAAGAAAUACUUGAAUUCCCAGGUGGAGCAUCUUUCCUUUAAGAAACUUGAGCCUUCGAACCUAAGGCUUGUUUUAUUUUGUUGUUGUUGCUGUCGGUUUUUAUUUUGCUUUUUCCUUAACCAAUAACCUAUGCUUGCUUCCAGCUUCCUGUUUUCCAGCUGUGGCACUGUUGUGUCUUACAUUGCCUUAGGCACUGGACUGAGUCUUUUACAGACCUACUAUAAAGCCACUAAAAAGAGUGGUUAGUAGUUUUUUUUGGUUUUUCUUUUUUUGUAUAAUUACUGCUUUCCACAGUUUGUUAAGCUGAGAUUUCAAAAUGUUGUAGAGUAAUUAAAUCUCCAUCUCCAUCCUUUAAAUCUGAAUGUGCAAGCAUCAGUAUCCUCCUGAAAGAGAAGAAAUGGAGGUGGGAGUUGAGCAGUCUCCCCAGUUUUUCCAAGGAACCAGGAAAAUGAGUAAGAUGAAGCAGAGAGGAGCAUGACAUUUAUGAGCUGGUUUAAAGCAAUGAUUAGAGAAAGAGUUCUCUUACUUUUCUUAUCAGAAAUGUUUUUCUUUAGGAUUUUUAGACCAAUUUGUAUUUGAUAGUGGCUAAGGAGUCCAUUAUCUGUUUGCUUUCCCAUUUUAUUGCUGAGGCAAUAGAUGGAAGUGCUCUAAUUACACUGAAGUUUCCCAAAGUAUAUGAUACCUCACUCUGUAGAGUAUGCAAACAAUACAUUAGCAUUUUUCAUUUGUUUCUAAAGAGUUUUUGAAGAUCACAUCUGUAUAGGUUUUCUUUGGCAUGCAGACUUGAGAGAGGGAAAGAGAACACAAGGGAGCACAGAACUAUGAAGUGGAGCAUAAUGAUGAUGACCAAAUCUCCACCUGGAGAUGGACCCAAAAUCUCCAAUUUCCAUGACUUAGACUGUCAAGGAAACCUGUGAGGCUCUUUCAUCUGCAGAGGAAACAGCCAUAGAUAUUUGUUUGACUUUAUUGUUGCUGGUAGUUUGAUAGCUUAAAGGUUGACCUCAAGUAAACAAGGACAUGGUAUAGUGGGACCUACUGGUAAUAGGUGAAUGGUUGGACUGGAUGAUCUUUUAGGUCUUUUCAAUCCUUGGUGAUUCUAUGAAGCUGUUUGGAUUAUGGAAAGAGAGAAGGGAAGACAAAUGCUGUGUAUGACCUCGUAGAAGGAAGACUUGGUGUUGUUCUCUUGUUGAUGAACAGAGGGUGUUGUAAUUUAGCAAGUGUAGUGAUACCUGCAAUUGGCUGUCAUGGGGCUGCUUUGAUUUUUGUGAGGCAGAAAUUGGGUUAGAUGAAUUUGAUCAAAUUUAGAGACCUAAAAAGACUGUAAUUAACAGUGUAGAAAAAAAGGUCAUUUUACCCCUCUAUAAAGACCUAGAGAUGGUUGGAAGAAGAUAGACAAAGUAUGCAACAAAAGAAAAAGCAGAGAAAGACUUUGUGGAUACCAAAGAUUUAGCAUGACUAAAGAAUGGCUUAGGUAGGAAAGGGGAUUUCUGAAAGGUGUGUAUUCAUUGUUUUCCCAGAAAGUGAGAUUCUAUUUGGACACGGUGAUUUAACGAGCAUGUUUUUCAUUCAGGGAUGAGAAAUAAACAGGAUAAUCUGCGAUCAACAUAUAGGCAAGGAAGCGUGCAUUAAAGCUCUUCUGCUUUUACAGGUGUGUUCAGGUGAAAUUAAUAGUGCCAUCUCAUUCUUGUCUGUUUUUAUCUGGUAGACAACGACAAGCUGUGAUGGCUGAGGUGCAAUACAGGGGGGUUUUGGAGGUUGAGGGAAGGCCAGAAGGAUUGAAAAUGUUGACUAAUUGUUCUUAAAGGAACCUCCCUGAUUUUCUGCUCUUCACUUGUUGCAUCCCCAAAGUGUCCUCUCUCUGUGACAGCAAGUUCAUUGCUGUUUGUUAUGGCUGUUCUACUGAUUUCCAUUCUGGAAGCUGAAUAGAAUCUAUUCAUCUGAUCUCCAGGCCACCAGCAGCAGGCAUCAACCUCAUGGCUGCCAUUGGAAGAACUGCAUCUUGGAGGUGGAAUUCCAAGUUUUCCUCCCACUCUUCUAUCUGAAAAGCCACAAUGAUGACAAAAAACAUUCAUAAAGGUUAUGCUGGAAAAUAGAUGAAGAUUUGCAGUUUUUUCCCUCGGACAACUGAGUUCCUGACCCAUAGUCCUUCCCACAACUGAGAGAACAGUGCCUGUCCAAGAACAUCCAACAGGACAUCCAACUUUGUUAUGCAGCACCAUUGGGAGGCCGCCAGUCCUGUGAGCACCUCGAUGUGACACCCCUUUGCUGGGAAGCAGAGCGGCGCUGUGAGUCAGUUGCCACAGAGGUUUGCUUUUGAAGGGCUUUCCUUGUUUUCUAUCGGAGCUUCUAUGUUCAUGUGUUUACAGCCCAGUAGAUCAUAAAGCAGCUGUCACCUGCAGGAGGACGUGGAAGGAGCAACAUACAUUGGUAUUGUUUUAAUGUAAAUUAGCACAGAUCUUGUAGAGAGGUGUCCCUUUGCAAACAAGAAUAAGUGCUAAAAGUCAGCAUCAGUCAGUGCAGAACAGAAGCUUUCAUAGCACUUUGCUCUCAGCUCUUGGAAUGAAGAGUGCUUUAACCAGCAACAGCUGUCUCAGUAACACUAGGCGUACCAGUAGAGCUGGAAGAGGCAAUCUUGUGUUGGGCGUUAUCGUGUUUGUGUUUGCUCGGAAGCAGAUCCUGCGUGCUCAUUCUUGGCAAUAACACAAUAAUAUUUCAGUGUUCUGAAAGCUGUUUACACAUAUGAUACUUUAAUGCUUUUAACAAAAAAGAAAUGAAAUCCACUGCACAAAUGAUUGCUCUCUGCUGAGAGUAUUUAUCACUGUGCAUGCCCAAGUGGCAUCACCCACUCCACUGUUAAGGGGCUUUGCAAUUUGUGAAGUGAGAAGGUGGUUCAGCAAAGAUGUGGAGGCUCUGAGCUGAGGUGAACUCUGAAGUUGUUUGCCCGUUUUAGACAAAGGCCACGUGUCAAAAUGCCUCUUUACAUUACUGUUGUCAUACAUAGAAGAACUACAGAGACAGACGUUGUCAUGUGAUCUUGUGAUUCAAUUCACAAAGGUUUUUGCACCUCUAGAAAAGUCCAUGUGAUAUCAAAGUAGAAAAAUGGUACUUGUGAAAAUAGCAUCUUCCUAUCCUGCAGUUCUUUCCAGACAGAGUAUUUUUGAGUCUAUGAGCAAUAUAUGUUAAAAACAGUGGCUGCAUCAGGUAGAUAUAGUAACAAAUAUCUACAAAUAAGAGACAGAAAUGUAUGUAAGCUGUCCAAAGUGAUAGUGCCUGAAUUUACAUUUUACAAGACGAUGACUUCACUCCUUGCACGUAACUCAGCAAAGCUGUCUAAACAAUGCAAGUAGCUUGUCUAGCUUUCCCACACUAAAUACCUUAUUCUGAGCUGCAUCCAGCUUCUGUGAGCCCCCGGUUUUCAGAUCAAAGCUCGCCACGUUCUUUCUCUAUAAAGUUGACCUUAAACUCUGAACAGGGAGUGGUCACAAAAUAUCUGUAGCCAAAAGUAGGGCUAGUGAGAACCCUUCAGCCUAGUUAACUGAUCCAAGAGGAGGCCGGGAACUUAAAACUUCAGCUGGAAGUGUUUAUAGAAAUCUUAGAAGAGGACAUCCGUUAUCAUUCUAAGCGAAAUAAUGAUCUCUAAUCACAGCAUACACAACAUACUUUGCUUAGUAACACUCAUCUUAUUCCUUGGAAAGUUCUGCUGUAUUAAAUAUGUGAGCUAGGUAGCUUACCUACGUAUUCUAUCAUGAGUUAUUGUGGAUCAUCAAAGUAUUCAUCAUUGUGGAUACCAUCAUGGACACAGCAAACUGGCCACUUCUAACUGAAGAUGUAAUUAAACCUUUGGAAUUGAAGCCUGCUUCCUGGCUGCUCUGGGACUGCAUGUACCUAACAAGGACACUCCUGGUAAUGACACUCCUGGUAAUCAUUCUUCCAGCCAGUCAUUUGCUGCAGAUUUUAAGGUAUUUGAGCUGCAGAGAAUGUGAAAAAUGUGAGAAGUGAUGUACAGCUGCAGAAAGGAUGAUGUGCUUGAAAGAGUCAUCAUGACACUAUAGGCAACAGACAGACUGAGCACUGGCUCCUUGUCCUUGUGAGGGCUGGAGCCUUCCUGUGUAGUUCCAGACAGCACAGUGAUCACAGAAUGGCUUGGGUUGGAAGAGACCCCAAGAAUCACCAUGUUCCAACCCCCUUCCACAGGCAGGGCUGACCACCACUAGAUCAAGUGCUAGACCAGGCUGCCCAGGGCUCCAUCCAACCUGGUAACCUGGGGCCACCAUGUCUUCUCAUCUGCUCACAUUUUAGCUUCCCCAAAGCAGGAAUUCAAGAGAAACUUGCAAAAUUGCCAUUUGUCAUUUUGUUUUGGGAUGAACAAUUGCUUUAUUAAGUUCUAUUUGUACGCUGGAACCUGUAUAAAUUGGCAACCCUGACUGCUCCAUGUGAGGAGAACAACACACUGGGAGAACAUCUGCUGUCCCAACAGCAACCUGGAAGGAAAUUUGACAGUGAGUACUGGGGAUCAGUAUGAGAAAAAUGCUGUUAGUGUCUGUUGUACACUUCAGGGGACUAACAAAGUUAUCUGCCAUCUCUCUGCACAGUGGUCCUCACUCUUCUUUCUUUGUUUACAGAUCCAGAUGUUGUUAGGCUGAGACUUGGCCAGGCGGCUUCUAGUGACUAAAUAGUUAUUAUUGCUCCUUGUCCUGAAAGAUGGAAUUUAUUAAAAUUAGGGGCUCCUGCAUUGGAGAUGAAUACUAGAAAAAGCUUUUAAGCCUCUAUAGUGGAAAGCUGUGAAUUCUGCAGCAUGGUGCUCUGUGACUGACAGUCUGAAAUCCAGGCAGGACAAGAAAAGUAAACCAAAGCAACUGCAAGGAUUCUCUCAGAUUAGUGCAAGCUAAAAAGAACUUUCAGCCAUUAUAUGGAGGCUUAAUGCUCUUUGGGGUACUGUGUGCAGAAUUAGAUUUAUAUUUGCUUAAAUGAACUGGGAGUCCCAUGGUUGGAAAAGACCUCCAAGAGCACCCUGUCCAACCAUCUGUCAAUAAUAUGCAUAUCCUGGGACAAAUAAUGCUUUAAAAUAUGUGAAAAUUCGGAAGUGAACAACCAUGUAUAAAACGUCAGACACAACUUUCGAGCUCUGAGAGCUGCGCUGAAGCAUUGGUGAAAACGGUAUGUUAGGUAUGUAUCACGACAUAAAGAUGUUUAUGUUCUGGAGUGUUUUGUUUUCUUAACCUUUGAAGUUCAGCAGUUCGGGUGGCAAAGCCUUGGUUGCCACAAGGCCGUGUUUGAAAGGGACUGUGAAAUGUAUUUUGAGAACGACUCAAAGCCAAAAAGCAGACCAACAAAAAACUACAUUCCAAGUUAAAAAAAACACCGGAGAGUGACAACGAGGUGCUAUUUUAAGGAGUUUUCUGUGAUAUAAAACAGUACAGAAAAUACCUUUUAGGAAGCACGUUCUGGUACCUCAAUCUAAAAUGUCGUUUCAAGGCUAAUUGAAAUUUAACAGUCUUUAACCAACAGGAAUCUGGGAUGAAACUUUGCCAGAAGACAGGCACAGGGAAGACUGACAUUAUCAUCACAUGAACUUGUAGCCUAUAUUCUGUGCUUUCUUCCCAUCACAACCAAUUAUCAUUAAUCUUUAAUAUUUAAACAUGAUAAAUCUUGAUUUUGACUUCUUGCAAUGAUUUUAAAAUAACUCGUAAAUAGCUGAGGGUAAUUAAUGCACAUGAAAGGAAUUAUUAGAAAAAUACUGUAGUUGAUCUACUUAAGUGCUUUCAAUUGCAUUAAAUGCUGAUAUAAUAAUUUUAUCAAGCUCCAAAAUGAAAGACAUGAACAACAGUUGAAGGAAGUACAAAUUAUCUUCGUAAAGACCUAUCAAGAGGAUACAGGGUACAGAACAAACUGUCUCUUUGCAGUCACUCUGUUUUUCUGUACCACUGGCUGUGCCUUUCUGAUAUUUCCUGUUGAACUGAGUAGCAGAGAUGGAAACGUGGGCAGAAUGUUGAGGUUCCCAGAAAGGAAAAUGUAUUUUACAACUCAUAAUGUUAUGAGUUCCCAACACUCUGCUUUAUGAAUCAGAAUUAAUUCAUCGUCGUGAUUUAGAAUCAUAGAAUCACCAAGGUUGGAAGAGACCUACAAGGUCAUCCAGUCCAAAUUCCAGUCUUGUAAAUAGCAGUGGAUGACAACUACCAGAGAAUGAUCUUGCAGACCAGAGAAUAGUCAUGCACAUUUCCUCUAAGUAUUUCAAGACUGUAAGACUUAGCACUCCCAACAAACAGGGCUUGCCCUCUUUAGCUGAAGAUUUGGGAGAGUAAACACAGCCCUGCUAUGGCCUCCACCCUCCACCCUCUUUCCCACCCGACCCUCCUGGGUCUUUGGGGGAUCUUCUCUUGACUCAAAGACAAGGGAAGGAAGGGUGGGAAACCAGAGUGCUGGCUUUUCUCCCAGCUUUUUGCAGCAGGAGCUGUGGGUGCUCUUCAGGAGCUCUGCAGACUUAUCUCUUCCUUCUCUUUGUUUAUCUAGUAGCAAGAGAAGGCUUAGUCAUUGUACAAGAUGCAGGAGAGUCGUAAAUCCUGGCAGUCUAGAGUGAGAGAAAGGAAAAACAGGAAAUACAGAGUGAUAUUAGCUCAGUAAUGGUAUUGUGUUAUCCCCCCAAGAUUGCCCAUGUUUGAUAGAGGGAUGAUCUUGUCAAAAAAAAAAAAUAAAUAAAAGCUUCUGGUGUUCCUGCAAACAUCUGCCUCAA